AGACAACAAAAUGUUUAAUAUUAUUAUUUUGUCACCUUAGGUCGAUCGGUAUCUCACGUUCUUAUUCAAUUAAGAAUUUCAUUUCCUAAGUUUUUCUAGGUCACACCCAUUAUUUUUCCUGGGCCAUUAGCUCAGGUGGUUAGAGCGCACCCCUGAUAAGGGUGAGGUCCCUGGUUCAAGUCCGGGAUGGCCCAUAUCUCUAUGUUGGGGGUAUAGCUCAGUUGGUAGAGCGCCUGCUUUGCAAGCAGGAUGUCAGCGGUUCGAGUCCGCUUACCUCCACUGAUUACCACCUCCUCCAUAAUCUUAAGCAAGGAAAUGUUUUGAGUUGUGAUCAAAUUCUGAACGAAUCUAGCUUCCUAAUGAAAGCAUUAAGAUGCUGGACUCAUUGAAUUAAUUUCAUUGUUUUCAGAGAACCUUGACAACUGCAUAGAUUAUUUUUAAAGACAAUAAGCAUCUUUAAUGAUGCAGAUUUUUUAUUUGUGCGAAUGCAUUAAUAACAAUUCUAUUAAGCUGAUGCUUCAAUUUUGAAGUUAUU
rnacentral:tRNA from 1 species